CUUGAGUGCUCUGAGGGACCCUUCAAGAUGGAGGCGACUUGAAGCUCUAGAGAGGAUGAAGCCCGAAACCUCUACACACAGGUCUACCUUUCGCCGCACUUCUUGGUCUGGCGUUGAGACUCUGCGUAGAUCGUCAUAGAUGCGCUGCACAUCAGCAGAAAGGCCACUGACAUCUCCGAGGAUAUCAUUAAGCACACUCUCUGAUAACUGUGUUGACUUUGUUAAUGACUGCUUAGAGAAUUUAACAAGCGUUCUCCAUUUUCUGUAAAUGUAGUCAAACUUUUGUUGAAGUCCUUUAAUUUUCUCGUCUUGCAGUGCUUGACCCUUCUCUGUUAGUGUACGGAUUCGUUCACCACGUCUGGGCUGCUGCGCUUCCUCCUGCUGAGGCUCAGCAUCACCUGCUUCAUCUUCGGAAGGGCCUUGAAGAUUCUCACUUUCCCUAACACUAUCCUCUACCUGAGUAGUGGACUCACUUGGCUCUGCCAUAAUUAAGUGACUGAGUUAAACUAAGUGAAUGUCAAUAUCAAAAUGUAAAAUGUAAAUAAAGUUUGCAUUAACUUCAA